GAUGAACGCUGGCGGCGUGCCUAAUACAUGCAAGUCGAGCGAACGGACGAGAAGCUUGCUUCUCUGAUGUUAGCGGCGGACGGGUGAGUAACACGUGGAUAACCUACCUAUAAGACUGGGAUAACUUCGGGAAACCGGAGCUAAUACCGGAUAAUAUUUUGAACCGCAUGGUUCAAAAGUGAAAGACGGUCUUGCUGUCACUUAUAGAUGGAUCCGCGCUGCAUUAGCUAGUUGGUAAGGUAACGGCUUACCAAGGCACCGAUGCAUAGCCGACCUGAGAGGGUGAUCGGCCACACUGGAACUGAGACACGGUCCAGACUCCUACGGGAGGCAGCAGUAGGGAAUCUUCCGCAAUGGGCGAAAGCCUGACGGAGCAACGCCGCGUGAGUGAUGAAGGUCUUCGGAUCGUAAAACUCUGUUAUUAGGGAAGAACAUAUGUGUAAGUAACUGUGCACAUCUUGACGGUACCUAAUCAGAAAGCCACGGCUAACUACGUG
rnacentral:rRNA from 1 species